GAUGGCAGCAAGCAUGUAAUGACCGGCACUGACCGGACUGAACUUGCGCCCGGCGACGUGUUCGUCAUCGAGACGCCGGGCGGCGGUGGUUAUGGCUCGCUGGCGCGGUGAUUACCGGCUGACGGCGGCCCCGCCCCGAGGACAAAUGCAAGAGCUGAGAAGAGCCCCGGAAUGGCCGUUCUUGAUCUGUGGUCACAAUGAAAGCUCAGAGCCAGUCGAUGUGACCGAUUAUUCACGGUCCGGUGAGACCGGGCGGCGCCUCGACAGGUUGUAAAGGCAAGAACGACGCC
rnacentral:misc_RNA from 1 species